AGCAGGAUUAAGGGAAAAAGGUAUACAUGUAGGGUAUCAUUGUACUCGAUUAAUUUCCCCAAACUAACGUGUGGGGGGAAAAAAACACAAACAUUUAACUAAUUUGACCUAGGUUUGUGAUAAAAUGAUUAAAAGAAGGGGCAGAGCCUAGCUUUCAGGCUGAAUGGACGUGCCAUCUAUCAGCUCCUGGCACAAAUCUUUAAAUCAAGGGGUAAAACCCCAGGAAAGUGGCAUGCACAUCGCCUGGAAGGGGACAGCGAAGAUGGGGGACACCCGGGGGAACAGAUAG